UAGUCCACGCCGUAAACGAUGAGUGCUAGGCGUCGGAGGUGUUUACCCCUUCGGUGCCGUAGUUAACGCGAUAAGCACUCCGCCUGGGGAGUACGGCCGCAAGGCUGAAACUCAAAGGAAUUGACGGGGGCCCGCACAAGCGGUGGAGCAUGUGGUUUAAUUCGACGCAACGCGCAGAACCUUACCCGGUCUUGACAUCCUAGGAACCUCUGUGAAAGCAGAGGGUGUCCCCUCACGGGGAAGCCUAGUGACAGGUGCUGCAUGGCUGUCGUCAGCUCGUGUCGUGAGAUGUUCGGUUAAGUCCGGCAACGAGCGCAACCCUUGUCGUUAGUCACCAUCAGUUAGGCUGGGUACUCUAGCGAGACUGCCGGUGACAAACCGGAGGAAGGUGGGAUGACGUCAAGUCCUCAUGGCCUUUAUGAUCGGGGGCUACACACGUGCUACAAUGGUGACUACAAAGGGCAGCAAUAUCGCAAGAUGGAGCAAAUCCCAAAAAGUCUACCUC
rnacentral:rRNA from 1 species